UUUAUUUCAGGCAGAGAAACAAUCCAUCGUUGUGCAACUGUGCUCUAUUUUUAUAAUAGGUUACAGACAAUGGUAAGAAGUCUGCAGUGGGCGAGCGGAAGGCUCGUUGAGUUAGACGCUGCGGAUGAAAUGAUUGCUGCUUUGGAACAGUUCCUGCAAGAAGUGCAGAACAUCGGAGACAUUCAGCGAUCAGCCGAAGAUGCACACACUUAUCGGUCUCCCUUUCUGAGGAGCGGUGGUGUAGGGCGACCAAGGCGGGACGUAUCUGUUGACCAGCUCAACUUUCUACUGUCCCUAAAUUUUACUGCUCGCCAGGUUGGAGACAUUCUAGGCGUGUCCUUUUCAACAAUUAAUAAUCGUCUCAGGUAAGAAAAAUGUUACUUAUUAUAGUUUUUAUUUAUUAAUUUGUCUUUCUAGACUGAUGCAGUGUGCAUACACAGUUUUGUGUGUGUUUUUGUUUGGAAACUAUAAAUGUACUGUAAUAAAUUAUUUUUAUCUUUUAUACA
ensembl:lncRNA